CGCCGCUGCCUCCUCUGCCCUGCUCGCCUCUCUGCCCGGCCCCGCUGUGCCCGCCUGGGCUGUGCCCGCCCGGUCGCCCCCCACCGGGAUGUGGGCCAGGCCAUGGAGAAGACCAGUGUCUGCUACUUGUCCUCCCCAAACUCCUGCUCACAUAGGUGGCAUCUGCUGGCCGUGCCUGCAGCCUGCAAGCUGUUGCCUUGUCCUGGUGGAAAGGAUGAGUCAUCACCUCCGCAGCAGCAGGGCCUGAUGGACUGUGUCUUCUACAGCUGUGAACAUCAAGGUGCACCCAGCCCGUAGGUCUGAAGAAAGAGGCUUCUUCUCCUUUGAAUUCUCCUAGAGUACAGAAUCUGUGACCUAGAGCCAGAGAAUCACAGAAUCCUUUUGGUUGGAAAAGACCUAGAGGAUCAUCAGGUCCAAGCCUUAACCCAUCACUGCCUGGGCACCACUAAACCAUGUCCCUCAGCACCACAUCUGUAUAUAUUCCUGUCUUACUCUUGGCUUUUUGGGCUUGCUUUAUUCUGUUCUUUUCCAUCCAGCUGGCAGCUGUCACUAGUGGUGUGCCUCAGAGAUCAGUGCUGGGCCCAGUCCUCUUUAAUAUCUUCAUUGAUGAUUUGGAUGAGGAGAUUGAAUCCACCAUCAGCACUGUUCAGCUAAUAAAGGAAAUGCUUUGGUCAAAA